rnacentral:rRNA from 1 species
AUUGAACGCUGGCGGCAGGCCUAACACAUGCAAGUCGAGCGGGGUGAUGGUGCUUGCACUAUCACUUAGCGGCGGGCGGGUGAGUAAUGCUUAGGAAUCUGCCUAUUAGUGGGGGACAACAUUUCGAAAGGAAUGCUAAUACCGCAUACGUCCUACGGGAGAAAGCAGGGGAUCUUCGGACCUUGCGCUAAUAGAUGAGCCUAAGUCGGAUUAGCUAGUUGGUGGGGUAAAGGCCUACCAAGGCGACGAUCUGUAGCGGGUCUGAGAGGAUGAUCCGCCACACUGGGACUGAGACACGGCCCAGACUCCUACGGGAGGCAGCAGUGGGGAAUAUUGGACAAUGGGCGGAAGCCUGAUCCAGCCAUGCUGCGUGUGUGAAGAAGGCCUUAUGGUUGUAAAGCACUUUAAGCGAGGAGGAGGCUACUUUAGUUAAUACCUAGAGAUAGUGGACGUUACUCGCAGAAUAAGCACCGGCUAACUCUGUGCCAGCCGCCGCGGUAACAC